AUUGAACGCUGGCGGCAGGCCUAACACAUGCAAGUCGAGCGGAUGAAGGGAGCUUGCUCCUGGAUUCAGCGGCGGACGGGUGAGUAAUGCCUAGGAAUCUGCCUGGUAGUGGGGGAUAACGUCCGGAAACGGGCGCUAAUACCGCAUACGGCCUGAGGGAGAAAGUGGGGGAUCUUCGGACCUCACGCUAUCAGAUGAGCCUAGGUCGGAUUAGCUAGUUGGUGGGGUAAAGGCCUACCAAGGCGACGAUCCGUAACUGGUCUGAGAGGAUGAUCAGUCACACUGGAACUGAGACACGGUCCUGACUCCUACGGGAGGCAGCAGUGGGGAAUAUUGGACAAUGGGCGAAAGCCUGAUCCAGCCAUGCCGCGUGUGUGAAGAAGGUCUUCGGAUUGUAAAGCACUUUAAGUUGGGAGGAAGGGCAGUAAGUUAAUACCUUGCUGUUUUGACGUUACCAACAGAAUAAGCACCGGCUAACUUCGUG
rnacentral:rRNA from 1 species